GCUCUAUGGAUAACAUUGACAUAACCUCAAAAUUUCGAUCAAAACACCCUUCUUUCGAACUCGUGCGGUGAUAGGAAAGCAAUUAAAAAUGUCCAGUCUCUACAUUGCAGUGUUUUACUGUUCUUUUAGUUGAUGUCAAGUAACUCAGUUGCGCAUGCAUCGACUCGUGGGUCAUACGUGCGGCAAAGUGGCCAACAGUUUUCCUGUUUCUCAUUUUUACCCAAAGCCAAGUCCCAAUCAAGCCUGUUUUUUCUGCAAGCAGAGGCACACUCAACUCCUGGCUGCAGUGCAAAUUAGUGAUCGUAGAUCAUUGUCGACCAUUGCAAGUAGUAAUUUUGUGAUUCUUAAUAAUGUCAAUAAAACUAAGAAAACUCGCAAAUUGAAGAAAAAUUAUUCAGAGCUACUUCAAGUGAGCAACAAUGACAGUAAUAUGACAAAGGUACGAAUCAAGAACAUGAAAGCCAGUCAAUUUGAUAUUUUUACGCAAAAUGAAGAACUCAUGGCCGAAGAAAAUGAAACAUUAAAAGAAGAGGAGUUCUUGAACAACAGCUUCACUGGAGCAGAAUACUGUGAUGAUAUGGACAUGAAAUUCGGAGGAUAUAUACUUAACGAAUCAGAUGCUGUGAAGUAUAAGGACUGCUCUAACAUGUCUGCAGAACACGCUUUUUGCAGUCUCCAUCCAAGUGACCUAUCACCAAUAGGAGAGGCCACUGAUGAAUUUAAACUGAACGAACCAUCAGACGGAAAAGGAAAAUCGCUAAAAAAGAAAAAAUCCUCCAAAAAGAAAAGGACGUCUCAGACUCAGGAUCCGCAAAGUAAGUUCUCUGUCCACUGGAUUUUUCCAGUGAGAAGUCUUUCGGGAAAAAGGCCUGAAAAACGGGCUGAACUUUUUAUUAAUAACAUAAUUAAUAUCACUAUAUUACAGACUAUACACUCUAUAUUAACAGACUUUUUGAGAUUUAUGAUCCCUAUACUUUUUUUUAAAUUUAAGCUUUAAUUGGUUUCCUGUUUUUUUUUUUUAAUUUUAUUAUUGGGUAUCUUAGGAUUUUGGUUCAUCAAGCCUUCUUUUUCUUUUCUGAAUGCUGAGGGUAACUUGGAUUACUUGCCCGGAUGUGGCUACCGCCACUCAUGAUUAGACUUCGGUAUCUAAAUCAAAGUUUGCGCAUCUUAAAGUGAAACUUGGCCAUUGAUAAAACUUAACUAUGAUCAGCUGUUGAAGAAGGAACUUUUAAAAGCUAUUGGUUGUAAGUCUUCCACUCUGAAAUGGAACUGUCGUUGUUUAUGGGCAGUUUCCUUAACAUGAUGCACAGUAGUGGGAAUAUUAUUGAUAGUAUGACUCAGAUUACUGCCUCUAAAUUUCUGGAUCAUGAGGAGACAGCCUUGCACAAAAAAUUAUGGGUUAAAAAUAUUGCUGGAAGUCCAAAAUUUGUCCAUGUAUUUCAAGAAUCUGAAGCAAUUGUUUACAAAAUUUUCAUGCGCAAGAUUCUUUCUACCUCUAAAAAAUAUUUUAUUUAUUGUAUUGUUUGAAUUAAAAGUUGUCUCUUUGUUAAAGUCCGUUUUUUAAUCAUGUAGAACAUCAACAUCAAAGAAAUUAGUUUUGUUUUUUGGUUGGAAUUUUUCAACCUUUCCUCUUAUUUCCUUUAAAAUGAUUUUUUUACUAUCUAAAAAUUGGUUUUUGUAUUUACAGGGAAACUUCCAAAGCAAGUGCAGGAUUGAGUAGUUUAAUCACCAAGUAUGAAAAUUUAAGGAGAAUAGAGAAAGAAAAACAUUUCAACCGUAAUGUGCUUUCUUUUAUCGAAGUGUCGGUAGGCUGAUUUACCAUUUUCAUGGUUGUAAUUGAUUUCUUUAUUUUAUUUCUUUAAUGAAAAAAUAUCACUUGCAUUGUUCGUUUUUAUGGACCUCUUUUAGCAGUGUGGAGCAAUAUUUCAUCGAGUGUCUCUUACAAAUCUUCAUCUGAACAAUCCAGCGCCCUAUGAAGCAGGAAUCAAAAAUCAAAUUUCUGGGGACUCUCACUGAAGACUUAGCAUUUUCUUAGACCUUCUUUUAUGAUUUUAAAAACAACAAAGUGAGAGAACCUCAAACUCUUCAGAAAAAACUCCUUUUAAAAAUCCCUGCAGAAUAUUUAAGUCUUUAGUCCUGAGAUCUGGUAAUUUGCAUGUUUUUUGAAAAACUUUUGUCUUUAAAAAUUAAAAAACAUGAGAUAAAAUUACUAUUCAAUCCCAGAAUUAUGUCCUAUUUUCAUUCAAAUGUGGGUUAGAGAACGAAUAGCAAACUUAUCCACCAGCAGGACUCUAGAGGUUAAGAAAGGUUAGGUAUGAUGUAACCAAACUUUUUUUAAAAAAUAUUAUUGCUUUGUGAAGUAAAGAAGAAAGCCACUAAUACAGAAACAUAUAUAAUGAACAGAAAUUUGCUUUUUAAAGUUCCUCAAGUCAGGUGCCUUAGCUUCAUCUGGAGAGAGAAAAGAUGUAGAGAUAGUGGUUUUUUUAUGAACAUGAACAAAAUGACAUCUUUAAACAUAUGUUUUCACUCUGAUGAGUUGCAGUAACGUCAUAAUUAUUCAGAAAUAGUAAUGAUCUAAUAUUCUAGUUUUUCCUCUCAAGAUUACUGAAGCCCGAGCUCGCCAAAUGAUAGCUCAGUCUUAAUGAUGCCUCAUUUUGUUAAAUCUUUGCAAGAAAAUCAUAAUUUUUUUUUAUAUUUUCACAUAUUUUCCAGAAUGCAUCAAUCCUUAACUUACAGUAAGACCGCAGCAUUCCCAAAGUAUAGAAAAUGACGGAACUGACAACCUCUCUGUACAUUUAGCAAACUUUUCAGUUUUAUUCUAAGUCUGUACGCAAAGUACGCAUGGAGUCUUGUAAGACUUCCUCUACAUACACAGAGUACAUGAUUGCAUCUAAAAGCAAGGUUACACUUAUAUCAGAAGAUGCAUUUUUCAAAAUUUUCAUCAAUGUCUAUUGACUGUGUCUACUCACAAGAAAUUUUAAGCUGUUCGCUCAUUAUUCUGCAAAUUAUUUCUAAGUAUCUUCGAAUUAGAAAAAAAUACUGAAGAAACAAUAAUUUGUUACACAGCUUAUUCAAUGCAACUGAAAAUAAAAAAUCUUUCAAGCUUCAGAAGAGCAACCUUUUUGUCAAGAACCUUUUCCUCACUUUUUGCUUUCCUUAACCUCUUUUU
rnacentral:lncRNA from 1 species